CCCUUAGAUGUUCUGGGCCGCACGCGCGCUACACUGACACGUUCAUCAAGUCUAUAACCUUGACCGAGAGGUCUGGGUAAUCUUUUAAAAACGUGUCGUGCUGGGGAUAGAUUAUUGCAAUUAUUAAUCUUCAACGAGGAAUUCCUAGUAAACGCAAGUCAUCAACUUGCAUUGAUUACGUCCCUGCCCUUUGUACACACCGCCCGUCGCUACUACCGAUUGAAUGAUUUAGUGAGUACCAGGGACCGAGCGCUUUGGUUGGGUUUCCUUCCCUAGCGCUUGGGAACUGUCGCAAACUUGACCAUUUAGAGGAAGUAAAAGUCGUAACA
rnacentral:rRNA from 1 species